rnacentral:lncRNA from 1 species
UGAAAUUUCAAAUGAAAAUUGGGGAUUUGGAGGAGUAAUUGGACUCCGAUUUUGAUGAAUUUUAUGUGCAUGGACUCGUGGCGAGGCGAGGAUUCUGAAAAAGUGAAUUUCGUAAUUUUUUGAGAAGCUGGCCCGGGGCUCGGGUUUUGCCAACUUCGUAUUUUUGGAUGUGUUUCGAUUUAUUCCGAUUGGGUUAUGUUCCAUUAGCCUAUUUUGACGUAUUCCUAUUGGGUUUUAUCAGAUUUGGCAUCCGCGGAGGUUGAUUCUCGACGGAAAGGCAUUGCAGCUAGUUUGCGGCCGACUUGAGGUGAGUAAUGGGUGUAGAUGAUGACCCGAGGGUUUGAAACCCCAGUAUAUCACAUUCUGACGCUAUUAUGAGGCUAAACACGCACUUCAUGGCUAGUGCGGGGUCGUAUAUGUUAGAAAUUAAGACUCGGUCCAAUCCGAGGGUUAUAUUGUACUAUGUUGGCGAUUUCUUUGCAUACUAUAUUGACGUUAUCUGGGCUUGAUGCCAUGUUUGGGGCCUUGUGCCGACUUGUAUAAUCCUUCAGGGAUCGCUAUCUCAGAAUUCAUAUGAUUUGCAUAUUAUUUGAUAUCAGUCCAGGUUUAAAUACUAUUUUUGCAAACUCAGCCAUAUUUAUACGUUUUGAAAACUCAAAUGAUUUUUAAAUGAUAUUUCGGCCUGACGAGUACUAUCUCCCUAUUUUUGGACUGUAUAUAAUUUUAAAUGGAAAUAGUGGUAACUAAGGAUACUGUGUAUUUUAUAUGGAAAUAGUGGUAACUAAGGACACCGUGUAUUUUAAAUGGAAACGGUGGUAAGUAAGGACACCGUGUAUUGUGAUGAAAACGGGGUAACUAAGGACACCGUGUAUUGUGAUGAAAAAAGUGGUACCUAUUGGCACUGAUGGAUAUGGCGCUUGGGCUGUAGGAGCCCCUCCGGAGUCUGAACCCCCACAGUGACCGCGGGUACCCAUAUGGAUUGGGCUGCACGUUCUGCAGUGUUCAUGCAUUUAUUUACUAUUGUUUACUCUGUAUAUCUAUGAGACUGGUACUGUAUAGAACUGCUAGAUAGCUUUAUUUUGUGUUAUUUGGUGUUUUCUUAUCUUCGGGUUUUUAUACAUGCUUAUUACUCGCUAAGUUGGUAGACUCACCCCAUACUCUCUACACCUUGUGUGCAGAUUCAGGUGCUCUAGAGCCCUAGUGCUGCAGCUGUUGAUUUUCCGGAGUUGUUCAGAGUUUGAGGUAGCUGCCCAGCGUCCGUAGGACCACUUACUCUGUCUCUAUCAGUUGUUUCUUUUGUUAUUCUGUCAGACAUUUGUAUUACUUCCGUUCAGACAUGUAUCUUAUUUUAUUAGAGGCUCUAUACUCGUGACUCCUUGGUUUUUGGGAGAAUUACUGUUCUUGCUCAGCUAUGUUUGCAGUAGUAUUGUCUAUCCCUGGUUGUGAGUUUCACAUUAAAUUUGCUGUGCUAUCUUAAUUUGUUUCCUUUUGGACGGAAUGUCGUUCUUGGUUGUGGUUUAGUCGGGCUUGCCCAGCCUCACGGCACGGCGCCGUCACGACCGGAAUUUGGGGUCGUGACAGCAUUCAGACAAAUCGGGAGAGUAUACGGAUGACUUUUCUCCUACACCCAAUCUUCAAUCUAAGAAGAAGCAUGUUGAAAGUGUUGGUCCAUCUUCAUCACUGCCCCAUAAGAAGGUCAAGGAACAACCCAAGAUUCCUACAAAUGAAACAUAAUAUCAGUCCAAGAUUCCUCCUAUUUGUGGAACCGACUUUGGACAUAAAGUUUUGCAUGGAAAGCAACUGUCACAUUCAUAAAAUGAUGAUGUAUCUUCUUUGAGGAACGAGCUAAAUUCAUUUAAAGAAUACGUGAGUAUUUAACCACAAUAAAAAAUAUUACGGUUUAAUGCUUAGCACUCAUAUAUGUAUGGCGCAAUAUCUAAUUAUUUUUGUAUUGUUAAGGUUGUGGGAGAGUUUGAUUCUUUGAGAAUAUUGAUCAAUGAUAACUUCAAGAAGAUUUCUAACCAACUACAACAAAAUCAGCAAACUUAACCCAUAGGGAGACGUCAUGAUGGCUUUGACACAGAUAUCUGUGAUAAUGUUGAGGUAGAAACAGCCUUACAUAACGACCAUUUGUUUAUAGAUGCUAUUAUGUUAUUCUUAAAUAAUUGGAAUUAAAAAGUAGUAUGUGUUUCUACUAGCAUUAAACUGCCUCAUUAAACUGAUUGAAGUUAUUUGACCAACACAUGUGUUUAGCUGUAUUCAUAUCUGUGUUAUCCUUAACAUGUAAUUGAAUUAACUUUUGUAUUUAGAUGUAUUCAUCUGUAUUCUGAUAUUAAGUUAUUCCAAUAACAAUGAUACAUACAACUACCAGAAACAAGUGGUUAAUGAUCAGUGUAUGGAGUCAGGAGGAGAGGUAAAAACUACAUCAGAGGUGCCGUCCAAACUACCAUCUACAGGUCAAGACGAUGUAUCUAAGCAAUUCUAUGUAUCUCAAUUUGAGCUGGACGACAAGUUUCUUCCCAGUCAAAUUUCAGAAACUAGAAUAGUCAUUCACAACAGUGCAAAAAGAGCAGAAACAAGCCCAAUACCAUCUGAUAGAAAUCGGCGACCAAGUAAAUGGUACUCUUCGCCUUAUGAGGCUAACUUUGAUUCCAUAGGUUAGUGAUUUAUUAAACUUAAGAUUCGUCUUUCAUCAUGAUUUUUAAAUAUAAAAGUCUCUAAUCAGGAAUUCAAUGAACAACAUGUACCUCUCUAAAGUUAAUCCCCAUCUUUAAAAAAAGACACUCCUUUGAGAUGAUUCAAUAACGAGGCCACAUCCUAUGCCUCAUUCAGGAAUAUGACAAAUGGGUUCGUGAUGGUCUUCUCGAUAGACAUGAUCAGUGGUGUGUUUUAACAAUAUAUGUGUAUUAAGUUUUUAUAUUUUUAAACAUGUAUAUAGUAUUUUUCAUAACAUACUUGUAGAAGUAAUUUGGAAGACCACUACAACAAGAAGAACAAGUCUACACUUCACAUACCCUUGGAUUUUGGAGUCGACCAAGUUAAUUGAAAAACUUAGUUUUACCUUCUAUCGUUCGACGGGAAGCUAUCGGAUCACAACGUAAGUUUUUCCCCUUACUUCUAUAAUGAGAUGUAUUUAGAAAUUAGGUUAGCUGACUUCAAAUGAAUACAACAAACUGUAGUGAGAUGUAUUUUUGUGUAAUCAUAUGUGAUCAAUUAUAGUCAGUUCAAUUGAAAUAUAGGAAUCACCUACAAUCAGCUAUUUUUAAUUGAUGUAUUCAUGUGUAUUCAGCUAUAGUCAUUUGACUUGAAAUGUAUGAAUCACAUACAGUCAGCUAUAUUCAAUUGAUAUAUUCAGAAUUUAUGAAAAUUCUAUAAUGAUAUGUAUUUAGAUAUUAUUUCAGCAGAAUUCAGAUCAUCCAAUCAACAUUAUUGAGAUGUAUUUUGGUGUAUUCAUAUGUAUUCAGUUAUAGUCAUUUCGGUUGAAGCAUAAGAAUCACCCACAGUAAUCUAUUUUUAAUACAUAUAUUCAGGUGUGUUCAUAUGUAUUCAGCUAUAAUCAUUUGAAUUUAAAUGUAUGAAUCACCUACAGUCAGCUAUAUUCACUUGAUGUAUUCCAAGUUGAUGAAAGUUCUAUUAUGAGAUGUAUUUAGAUAUUAUUUCACCAGAGUUCUAAUGAUCUAAUCAACUGUAGUGAGUUGUUAUUUGGGUUAUUUAUAUGUAUUCAGCUUUGUACAGUUUAAUUGAAAUGUAUUUAUCCCUUAUUAAUUGUAUUCAACAGUAUUAGCAUUAUGAUCCUUCAACAGUUUUCAUAUAAAAUUAUCCUUAUCCAGCUGUAUUCAGCCAUAGACAGUCAUAUUCAACUGUCUAAACCAUAUCUAGUCAGUUUUAUUAUUCAGUAUUAUUCAGUUUAACAUAUUUUAAAAAAACUUGUAUUGUUUUAUUCAAAAGAAGUCAGUUUUAGAUAGUUUUAGUCAACAGGUUUAUAUAUAUAUAUAUAUAUAUAUAUCCAUAUGUAUUUAUCUGUAUUAAGCUAUUUUCUUUAUUAGUUUGGUUAAUUGGACUCACACCCUGUACUUAUCUCUUUUAUGUAUAGCAUAUUGAUGUCAUAUUCUAUUAUUUGCGAAAGAAGGCAAACUACAAUCAAACAUCCAACUUCAAGUAUACAACUGUUGCUUGUAUAUUCAAGACAAGAAUAACUGAAAUAUUUGACAGGUAUUUGCCACACCUCUUUUUUUUUUUACACCACCCCAAAAGGGAGUAUAUAAAGGGAAUUUUUCCAAUUAAAGUGACAUUAUCCGAUAUGAGUUUAUUUAUUAAUUACAGAGUUGCCAGUUGGAAUAAAUUACGGUGUUCCAAGUCACCGAUUUAUUUUAAAUCCCAAGCUUUUAUUUUAAAAGGGUCUGCGAACCAGAAAUUCUAAGUAUGGAAUUCUGUUAACCCAGGGGAAGGUAUUAGGCACCCCCGGAUUCCGUGGUUCUAUCACGGUUGCUUAGCAAUUUAUAUUUGGCUUCAUUAUUUAACUACUCAUUUUUAGACCUAAGUGUAAUUAUCUUUUUACCGCUUUUAAACACUUGAAUUAUUCGUAAUUAAAGAAUCGAGUACAUAUAUUCUUUUAUUUGGCGCGUAUAAAUCAUGUCACGCGAACGUGUCCACAAUUAAUAACGCUUUAUUUAUUAAAUUAUUAAGAAAAAAUUAUUGAAAUUGCGCGAACGCAUCCCUCUAUUCUUUUAGAAUUGAAUUUUGCAAUCAUAUUACGCGGACGUAUAUAUAAUCGCAAUACUAAUCUAAAAUCGAGCCUAAAGCAACAACGAGUAUUCAAGGCAUUUCUAAAUUAAUUUAUUCAUAUGAGGGCCAAGUGUUAUAAGACUAAAGUUUUCACACCUCAAUUUUGGAAAGCUUUUUAAUUAAGGUCGCCUAGGACUUUCUAGCUUAAAUCUGAAUUCAACAAAAGCUAAAAAGGUUCUAAAUUAUUUUGGGGAAAAAAGGAACGGGCAAGAUGCAACAGGCCAAAUUGAAUCAGCUUAGAGAUCUGAGAAUGGGGCGUGCAAAUGGCCCAAAAAUCAGAAACUUAAAAUACCAACGUUGGUCUAGCAGUCAACAGCCCACAUUGGGCAUAUAUUUUCCGCAGGCAGGCCCAAUUGAACAUUGGCUCGUUCUGGGCCUAUUCACCUCUUUGCAUUAAAGCUAACCAAAUUUUCCACAGAAGAGAAAAUAAGGGCAUGAUUCACUUAAAAUGGAACUUCAGGAAAUAAGGAACUCUCAGAUUGAAAAACAUGCAUUUAACAUAAUUUUGGAGAGGAAUCUUAAAUUAUUAAACAACUUGGGCUUAAAGCCCAGGCCCGUGGACUUAAAUCCUGACUUUGCUAGAAGGGAUUUUACGUGGGCCUGGUUGUGAGCCUGGCCUAGUCGUAGCUAUGAACAUGCUCAAUAAAUCAACUAUGGGUCUCAAUUGUAAUGACCCAAUACUAAACAACAGGAAAAAAAGAACUGAAUUCUUAAAGUUAUAGGCUCGUUGCGCGUGUUUCCUGUCUUAAAAGUAAUUAUUGGUCAAGAAAAUUACAUAUUUAUAUUUUUAAAUUGUAUUGAAUCAUAAAAUAAAGUGUAAGUUUUUGAAAUUGAUAAAUAUUAAUCUUAUAUAGCUAACUUAAUAAAGGAAAAACUUUGUUCAUUGAAAUUUUUUAUUAUUAUUUAAUAUAUUCACAUUAAAUUUUAUUUCUUAUAAUUUAUCAGUUAAAUUUCACAAGUUAUUGUGCUUCAUUUUUAGUUUCAGUAAAAAAACACAUAGCCUUGAGAUUUAAAAAAAUUUAAUUCAUUUUUCAAAAAUUAUUCUCAAGUUCAUUAAAGAAGACACAAAUAAGUUUAAUUAGCAAUACUUCUUUUAUGGUUCUUUAAAAAAAAAUUCAGAUGAUAUAAAUGUAAUUAAAUUUAUGUAUUUUCAAUUUAUCUCUCUUCAAAGGUUUCAUUGUUACCUAUCUAGUGAGAUUUUAGUUGCUGAGAUAUAAAGAAAAAAAGAUAUAUAAUUUACAUAACUUUAUCGAAACGUGUGUGAACAAAAAAACUAUUACUCAAACAUGAAAAUUUAAUAGGUCGAAAACAUUAUUAUGAAAAAAGAUUCAAUAUAUAAGGAAAAUAGUAAUUAAUUUUAAAGUCCUGAAUAUGAGUAAAAUAUUUAAUUUAUAUAUCCAAUAUAAAAACUAUUUAAGGAUAAAAAAUCAACUAAUAUUUUUCAUGGAGAUUCCAUGCCUUUAUAAUAUUGAUUUAAGCUUGUACAGUUUAUCAUAGUUAACCAUGCUAUUAAAAUGCAUAUUUAAUUGUUCCACUUUGAAUUGUAAUUUACUCGUUUUGUUCCACGUUGGCAUGUAAUUAGAUGUUAUUGUACAUAUUAAAUAAUUUUAAUUUAAUAUGUGAUUUUUUAUCCUUAAAUAGAGAUCAUAUGAAGGCACCGUAUAAAGUGUUGAUUUUACAAGUAUUAUGCCAAAGAUAUGUUUUCAAUUAGUACAAUUUAUAUAAGGUAAAACUAAUAUUAAUGCGUCUUUCUCUUAUCUAGUUUAACAAGGAAAGAUUUGAUAUGCAAAACUUUAAUUGCUUUCAAAGUCUUAAAUUUUAGGAGAGUAAUUUAAAUUAAAAUUGUAAAAUAUGUUUGUAAAGGAUAAAAAGGGCGAACGAUAUUUUGCUAAGGGUCUUCAUACUUUUAAUAUAGUAUAGACUUGAAAAUCCAGAAAAUUAAAGUUAAUAUAUGACAAUUAAUUCAUAAAAUACUAAUCUGAUCAUUAAGCUCUUUCAGGCUUCAUAUAUAAACAAUGAACACUGCCUCUUUUGGAUAUUAUUUUAUCCAUAAAAAUUGUGCUUCAUACGUGAAUAGACUUGCCUUGCCUGAACAGUAGAACUUUGGGUUCCAAAAAAAACCUUUAUACCUACUGAUUUGGUCAAUUAGUGACCAAAUCCAUAAGCAUUGACUCAAAGUUUUGUAAAUAGAUUGAAAUAAUAUGAACAUUACUAUAAGAAAACGGGGGCGGGGGAGGAAAACAACUAACAAGACUAUUCUUUGGACCAAAAUAUUCUAAAGAAACAACCAAACAUGUGGGACGGCCUGAUUCAUGGGUAUAACCAUGUUGAAAGGUUAAACUCAUGUAUUAACUGAGGUUCCAAAACUCACAGUUGUGGCAGGCUGCUUCAAGGCAGCACACAAUACACCUAAAGGGAGGUAAUGGUUGGUUUAAUCUAUUAAUUUGACCAUGAAAACAGGUCGGAUUCAUAAAGCUAGAUGAAAUAUUCAAAAUUCUACUAGAAUAAUGUAACUGAAUCAAGCUCAAUACAGAAUGAGUAAGAAGGAAAGGACAGUGUGUCCAUAAAGUCCAACCAUAUUGAGGGUCAGCCUUAUAGACACACAAUGAUUCCCAAACCAUGAUUUAUUAUAUGGUCCUCAUUUCAGUAAAGGAGAAGAAAGGGGAGGGACAAUAUCAUAAACAUAUACUAAAAUCAGAUUUUUUAUGUACUUUAAAAGGAUGAAUAUGACCAUUUGAAAGGUCAGAUCCUUUUCCAUAUUGUGCUUCCACAGGUAAGUUGGCCCAAGGUCCAGCAAUUCAUACACAUACCAUUUGGCAAUCAAAAGAGAAAUGUGAAGUUUUAAAUAUGAUACACGUUUAUAGAUUUCAUGGUUUCAACUCAAACAGACAUGCAACACUAUAACAUAGUUUGCUUAUCUUCUAAACCAAUCAUGAUUCACAGACCAAAAUAUCCAAAAAUCAGCUCAAUAAACAAGUUUCAAGUACAGACUUUAAGCAUAAAAAAUGAUUUCAUUCAAAAGAAGCAUUGUACAUACCUCAAAGCUGAAAAUAUGACUAAAGAAUGACCAAAUAAAGGUCAAAGAAAGCCAGAAGAGAAACGAAAGCCCAAACUUCAGUAGUAAACCAGCAGACCAGCAUCAAUAAAAACCAGAAAUGACCCAAUGAUUUCAAAUAGACCCAAAACUAGCUUCAAACCAUGGAAUUCGGCUAAAAAACUAGAAAAUUUUUCUAUUCAAACCAUGCUUUCCACUUGUAAAGAAAUAAUAGAUUUCUGAUGUUUUCAAAACUAUUUUUUGAGUCUAAAAUUUGAGAGAAGACCAAAGAACCUUUUGGAGAUAAU